AGCAGCCGCGGUAAUUCCAGCUCCAAUAGCGUAUAUUAAAGUUGUUGCAGUUAAAAAGCUCGUAGUUGAAUUUCGGGGUUUAUCCGUUGGUCGGGCUUUUGGGUCUGUACUGGCGUGAUGGAUUCCUACCUUCUGAAUAACCAGCAUGUCAUUAAUUUGGUGCGUUGGGGAAGCAGGACUGUUACCUUGAAAAAAUUAGAGUGCUUAAAGCAGGCUAUUGCCUGAAUACAUUAGCAUGGAAUAAUGAAAUAGGACGCAUGGUUCUAUUUUGUUGGUUUCUAGGAUCACCGUAAUGAUUAAUAGGGAUAGGUUGGGGGCAUUAGUAUUCAAUUGUCAGAGGUGAAAUUCUUGGUAUUUAUUGAAGACUAACUUCUGCGAAAGCAUUUGCCAAGGAUGUUUUCAUUAAUCAAGAACGAAAGUUAGGGGAUCGAAGACGAUCAGAUACCGUCGUAGUCUUAACCAUAAACUAUGCCGACGUAGGGAGUCGGACGAUAGUUUUAAUUUUUAAUGUACUUCGUUC
rnacentral:rRNA from 1 species